AGUCGAGCGGACAGAAGGGAGCUUGCUCCCGGAUGUUAGCGGCGGACGGGUGAGUAACACGUGGGUAACCUGCCUGUAAGACUGGGAUAACUCCGGGAAACCGGAGCUAAUACCGGAUAGUUCCUUGAACCGCAUGGUUCAAGGAUGAAAGACGGUUUCGGCUGUCACUUACAGAUGGACCCGCGGCGCAUUAGCUAGUUGGUGAGGUAACGGCUCACCAAGGCGACGAUGCGUAGCCGACCUGAGAGGGUGAUCGGCCACACUGGGACUGAGACACGGCCCAGACUCCUACGGGAGGCAGCAGUAGGGAAUCUUCCGCAAUGGACGAAAGUCUGACGGAGCAACGCCGCGUGAGUGAUGAAGGUUUUCGGAUCGUAAAGCUCUGUUGUUAGGGAAGAACAAGUGCAAGAGUAACUGCUUGCACCUUGACGGUACCUAACCAGAAAGCCACGGCUAACUACGUGCCAGCAGCCGCGGUAAUACGUAGGUGGCAAGCGUUGUCCGGAAUUAUUGGGCGUAAAGGGCUCGCAGGCGGUUUCUUAAGUCUGAUGUGAAAGCCCCCGGCUCAACCGGGGAGGGUCAUUGGAAACUGGGAAACUUGAGUGCAGAAGAGGAGAGUGGAAUUCCACGUGUAGCGGUGAAAUGCGUAGAGAUGUGGAGGAACACCAGUGGCGAAGGCGACUCUCUGGUCUGUAACUGACGCUGAGGAGCGAAAGCGUGGGGAGCGAACAGGAUUAGAUACCCUGGUAGUCCACGCCGUAAACGAUGAGU
rnacentral:rRNA from 1 species